AGCCACGCAGUGAACACAUAGCGAACUAUUCUUUCGCCUUUUACUAAAGAAUACCGUGUGUGCACUGCAUAUCGUGGGGUUCUCUUUUCUGAAGCUCCAACAACUCAAGUUU
rfam:Solanum lycopersicum cultivar Heinz 1706 chromosome 1, whole genome shotgun sequence.